CCCUCCUGGGAGGGGGCGGGGUAAAGCAGGUUGGGGGCUCAGAGGAAGGAGCUGGACCCAAGCCUGAGGCUCUUGGGGCUGCACCUCCUGAUACACGUGUCCCCGCAUCUCCCCAUCUCCUCACCAGCCCUGACCCACACACCUGACAUCCUCAUCCCAGAGACCCUGGAGGCCGGCCGCACCGGAAACCUGACCUGCUCUGUGCCCUGGGCCUGUGAGCGGGGCACACCCCCCAUCCUCUCCUGGAAGGGGGCCACCAUCUCUCCUCAGGUCCCCAUGACAGCCCGCUCCUCAGUGCUCACCCUCACACCAUGGCCCCAGGACCAUGGCACCAACCUCACCUGUCAGGUGACCUUGCCUGGAGCUGAAGUGACCACGACGAGGACCAUCCACCUCAAUGUGUCCUCUCCUGGGGACACAGGGCCCAUGUCUACCAAGGCCUCACCAUUGAUGCGGAUCCGCCAUGACUUUCUGUCCCAGACCCGCCACAGAACUUGACUGUGACUGUCUUCCAAGGAAACAGCACAGUAUCCAGAGCCCUGGAGAAUGGCUCAUCGCUUUCAGUCCUGGAGGGCCAGUCCCUGCUCUUGGUCUGUGUCGCUGACAGCAACCCACCUGCCAAGCUAAGCUGGGCCCGGGGGAGCCUGACCCUGAGCCCCUCACAGCCCACCAACCCGGGGGUGCUGGAGCUGCCGCAGGUACUCAUGGGAGAUGAAGGGGACUUCUCCUGCCGAGCUCAGAACCAUCUGGGCUCCCAGCACAUCUCUCUGAGCCUCUUCCUGCAGAGUGAGUGUCCAGGGGCUACACAGUGAGCUGCAACCCCACCAACGCCCUAGCCCACCAGUCCCUGACUGGUGCAGAGUCCAACUGCUGGACAGGCAGGUUGUGGGGUGGGGUGAGGCCCAGGCACGAGUGGUCCGGCAUCUGGUGAAUCAGGAAGGCCUGGAAGGCCGAUGUCCGGAGUCCUCCUGGGAGCGGAGGGACACAGGAUUGGGAUUCGGCAAGUGAAUCCAUCCUCGUGCCACUUUCCCGCAGGGCCAGCGGGGCGCAUGGUAGAGGUGAUCGUGGUGGCCAUCUGGGAGGCGGUUGUCAAGAUUCUGUUCCUCUUCCUCUGCCUCAUCGCCCUCCAAGUGAGGUCUCCCUGGAGGAAGGCAGCCAGGCCCUCAGGGGGCAUGUCAGAUGCAAACGGCAUCCCAGGUUAACCCCCCAGGUGAGUGAUGCGGGUGUGUCACCACUCAGCAUUUCACUGCACACACUCCCCCCCAGGGUGGCCCCGGGAUUGCUCUGCUUAGCAUGGCCAGAGUUGAGCUGCCAUCUUCCUCCCCAAACCCACUUUCUGGUAGGUUCCCUGUCAUGCUGAUGACAAGGCAUCCCCAUCUCUAAGGCCAGAAGGGCAGGUGGUUCUCCACUUUGACCUCCCUCCCUUCUCCCAGAUCCAACAAAUCGCUAAGUGUUAUCCGUUCUUCCCCCAAAGCGCAGCUCAUCUUGAUGUCUGUCUCCUCCCUGUCCUGACCCUGGGCAUUCCAGAAGCCUCAUCUUGGGUCUCUGAGCUCACCUACCUCCUGCCUCCAUCUCUCUCGGAAACACAGGCCUGCAGGCUGUGUUUGCAGAGCCCAUCAGUGUCCACUUCCUGCUCAGCAGGAACAGUACUGUUUUCCCUCCAUGGCCAGAGACCGAGGAACACACGCCACAGGCUGGAUUUGCAGCCCUGGUGGCUCCGCUCCUGCUGGGCUCUCCACCCAGAUCCCUUCCUCCUCCUGCGUCUCCCAACAUCUCUGCACCCAGCCUGGUCAGACCUCUGUGACUCUGAGACUUUGCCUGUGUAGUUCCUUCUCCUGAAAUGCCCUUCCCUCCCUAGCCCUGCCUCUGCAAGUCCUGAUCAUCCUUCAGGCUCAGUCUUAAGUGUCAUCCAGUUUGUGUGUGUAUGUGUGUGUGUGUGUGUGUGUGUGUAUUUCAUUGUAUGGUUCUGCGUGGAAGAGUGAUAUUUAGUUAUUUAUUCACAGACUCAUUCAGCAAAUAUUAUGGAAGACCUACUAUGUGCCAGCACAGUCAUAGGCACCAGGGGUACAUCAGUGAACACAACUCCCAAAGUCUCCACCAUCCAAAAGACUUGACUAGACACUUCCACAAAGAAGGUAAUACAGAUGGCCAGUGAGCACCCAAAACAGAAGCUCAGUCAUUGGAGAAACGCAAAUCAAGCCCAUAACGACGUACCGCUUCACGCCCACUGGGACAGCUGUUGUAUAAAAAACCCAAGAAAAUAGAAAACAGAAAAUAACAAGUGUUGGCGAAGAUGUGGACAGAUUGGAACCCUCACAUGUUGCUUGUGGGAAGGGAAAACAGGGCAGCCUUGUGGAACACGCUUUGAAUAUCCUCCAAGAGGUCAACAGAAUUACCGUAAGACCCAGCCCCUCCACUCCUCGGUGUAAACUCAAAGGAACUGAAAGCAGGGAUUCCAAAACAGAUACUUGCACACCAUUGUUCACAGCAGCAAAAUUCACAGCAGUGGUGGAACCAAUCCUAGAGUCCGUCAGCCGAAGAAUGGAUGAACCAGAUGUGGCAUACGCAUACAAUAAAAUAACAUGCACCCUUACACAGGAGUGAGUGCAAUUCUGACACGUGCUACAACACAGACGACCCUUGAAAAUGACAUAUUAAGUGAGAGAAGCCAGGCAGCACUCACUUGAGUCUGCCCGCUCUCCCCUUGAGAGUGUUCUAUCACAAUACAUCCUCACUUUACUUUCUUAAGGAAAAGAGAAGAAGUCAGACACAAAAGAACAAAUACAGUACAGUUCUGCUUAUAUGAGCGACCUACAAGGCAAAUUCUUCAAAACAGAAAGUAGAGUGGCGUUGCUUGCAGAUAGGAGACGGGGCGGGGGGUGGGAGGGGAUGGCGAGGAGUUACUGUGUAACUGAUACAGAGUCUCUGUUUGGGAUGAUGAAAACAUUCUGGAAAUAGACGGUCAUGACGGUUCCCCUGACAUUGUGAAUGUAUUCAGUGCCACUGAAUUGUACUGUAUAAGAAUGUUAAAUGGUGUUUUAUUUUAUGGCUGUUUUACUACAAUAAAACAAAGGCAAUGAGAAGCACUCUGGCAUCAAGGUGCUUUCAUUACGGGGACAAGAAUUUUGAAAGGAAAUAAGAAAAUGUGAGCGUGUCAGAGAUUGACACAUAUUUAGAGGAAAAUCACGCAAGGAAAAGGAGCAGGUGACACACUGGGGUGGGUUUUCUGUACCUGAGUGUGAGGAGGUGAUGUUUGAACAAAGACUUGGAGACAGGGAGGAAACAGGCUUUUUGAAAAAAUUUUUUUUUGUUUUGUUUUUCGGGGGGAC
ensembl:lncRNA